GACAUCCAUUUAUUACACAAUUAGGAGAAAUUGACAAAGAUCAGUUUAUUGAAACACCUGAAUGUUCUGUAGUCAGACUCUGAAUAAAGGAGAAACAAAAACAGCCACAAAUCAAGCAGGAUUUAAUAAUAAUAAUGUUUCCAUGUCUGCCUGAGGAGUCGUGAGACGCUGAAGGGAUGAGAGUAGAAAACUGCUCUGUAAUGAAGGAAAUUAUCGUGGCGAAACUCAAAAACAGUAUCAAGCCAAUAUAUAUUUAUUCAGUUCAAAUUAAUAAGUCAGUCCAUCCAGACUCUCCUAUCAAUGAACAGGUCGUUUAUGCAGAUAAACAUGUUAUUCUCAGCGCUGAAGCCAAUUAGAGUAAUGUUGAACAUCCCUUCACAUGCCUGAGACUGAACCCAAACUCAUCCUUUAGAAAAUAAACAUGAUUUGUGAUGUAAAAAUGCCUUUAUAAGAAUCUCCACCUUCAAAAAUAUGCUCUAGAUCUAUGAAACAAGCUUUAUAUGAAUGCAUUAAAAAAAAGAAACAGACAUCAAUAAUUAUUAAAAGUAAUUCUUAAUAUUGCAAUAAUAAACAUUUGUUGGAGAGAUGCUCGUAUACAAACCCCGUGCUGAUCGACAGCCUCACACACACACACACACACACACACACACGUGCGCAAUCAUCAGAGAUGGAGCAGUCAGAAGUAGUUAUUUGUGUAAAUGCAAUGCAAAACAUUGGCUUUUUUCUCCAUCAGCAUGUCCCUUUAGGGGCUCCGUAGAGCACUAGUAAUCCAGAUUUGGAAAUCUGGAAUAGUGUGUAUCUGGAUCAGGGUGAUCCAAUCCAACUUUGCUUUGAAAAACCGGCACAGAAGUAAGAUGGGUUACCUGAUCCUGGAUAGCAAAACCAAUCAUUCUGAUCCAGAUUGAACUUUUUGAACGACUGGUGAUCCGGUUCACUGAUCAUCUGAUACAGAUGUUUUCAUCAGGUGUGAAUGUGCAUGAGUCAGGCUCA